UUAUAUGCAUAGAUAAUUGACGAUAACUUUUCUACAAAAAGUUCAAUUUUUCCCUGUAGAGAAUAACAUUUAAAUCUAAACGUGUGCAAUGCAUUUGUUGAUGAAUAACUCGUGAGAACUCAUCAAUGAUCUGUCAUUAAUAAAUUUUUGGCAGGUUUAAACGUACAAAACUCUUACGAUUGUGCAGCUUUGUAUUUUUUGUUUUUCCAUUACUUUGAAACUCAUACGUUUGCAUGUUCUGCGUGUUCGGAUUAAACGGCAGACAUGAGCGACUUCGUCAUUUGGUCCAAGAUGCAGGCGAAAAGGCCAAAUAGCUUGCGAAUAUUAACGUUGAUGCACGAUCACGGAUUGAGAUGCACGUUAAGUUGGAACUGUACUGCGGAUAAGUGUCGAUUAGUGUAAGAAAUAACAAAAUAACACGUCUUCAUCCUUAAUCGAAAAGUGUCGUAAAACAAUGAGGAAAUGAUCAGUCAAAAAUGGAUAACAAGUCACCAUGUUAAAAGACCUUAUCGUGUUAAAGGACUUCAAAAGGAUAACAUCUUUUUUUUAUUUAUGUGUUGUACUUGGGGGGGUGGGGGGUGUGUGUGUGGGACAAAUCGACUCGAUCCUCAAUUAUUAGGUUCAUUCUCAGCGACAGUGUUUAUCCUACCGUCUCUUUUCCGAGUUUUUUCAUUUGCGGACGAUCAAAUUGUCGCUUCUUCUCCCUUUUGUGUAUUUUCUUGGUUUUUUUCCAGUUUUAUAAUUAUCGCGCGCGCGACGACAGCGUUAGAAUAUAGAACUUGAUACUUUCUUUUUUCGAUUUCUACCGCAGGAAGUUUAUUUACUAGACGUCAUGUUCAAUUUAUUGAUUGGAUGACGUAAGGAUAUACGAUUAUG